CACCCUACGGGACGCAGCAGUGAGGAAUAUUGGUCAAUGGGCGGAAGCCUGAACCAGCCAAGUCGCGUGAGGGAUUAAGGCCCUGCGGGUCGUAAACCUCUUUUGCCGGGGAGCAGUGGUCCGGACGCGUCCGGACCGGGAGAGUACCCGGAGAAAAAGCAUCGGCUAACUCCGUGCCAGCAGCCGCGGUAAUACGGAGGAUGCGAGCGUUAUCCGGAUUUAUUGGGUUUAAAGGGUGCGCAGGCGGAGGCAC
rnacentral:rRNA from 1 species